CGAAGGUGUCUUGUAAAGGAUGCUGGAGGUAUCAGAAGUGCGAAUGCUGACAUGAGUAACGAUAAAGGGGGUGAAAAACCCCCUCGCCGAAAACCCAAGGUUUCCUGCCCCAUGCUAAUCAGGGCAGGGUGAGUCGGUACCUAAGGCGAGGCCGAAAGGCGUAGUCGAUGGGAAUCAGGUGAAUAUUCCUGAGCCAGGUGGAUGUGACGGAUCCAGAAGCGUGUCAUGACUUAUCGGAUUGUCAUGGCUGUGGAUGGGUUCCAGGAAAUAGCACCACCAUUGAGACCGUACCCGAAACCGACACAGGUGGACUGGUUGAG
rnacentral:rRNA from 1 species